GAUGAACGCUAGCGGCAGGCCUAAUACAUGCAAGUCGAACGGGAUUAAGAGGCUUGCUUCUUAUGAGAGUGGCGCACGGGUGCGUAACACGUAUGCAACCUACCUUUAACUGGGGGAUAGCCUUCCGAAAGGGAGAUUAAUACCGCAUAACAUAAUUGAACGGCAUCGUUUGAUUAUCAAACUUCCAAGGGUUAAAGAUGGGCAUGCGUCCGAUUAGUUAGUUGGUGAGGUAACGGCUCACCAAGGCAUCGAUCGGUAGGGGAUCUGAGAGGAUGACCCCCCACACUGGUACUGAGACACGGACCAGACUCCUACGGGAGGCAGCAGUAAGGAAUAUUGGUCAAUGGACGCAAGUCUGAACCAGCCAUGCCGCGUGCAGGAAGACGGUCCUCUGGAUUGUAAACUGCUUUUGUUAGGGAAGAAACCCUCUGAUGCGUCAGAGGCUGACGGUACCUAAAGAAUAAGGAUCGGCUAACUCCGUGCCAGCCGCCGCCGUAAGAC
rnacentral:rRNA from 1 species